AUUGAACGCUGGCGGCAGGCCUAACACAUGCAAGUCGAACGAGUGGCGGACGGGUGAGUAAUGUCUGGGAAACUGCCUGAUGGAGGGGGAUAACUACUGGAAACGGUAGCUAAUACCGCAUACCAUCGGAUGUGCCCAGAUGGGAUUAGCUAGUAGGUGGGGUAAAGGCUCACCUAGGCGACGAUCCCUAGCUGGUCUGAGAGGAUGACCAGCCAAACUGGAACUGAGCAACGGUCCCAAAUCCUUCGGGAGGCAGCAGUGGGGAAUAUUUGACAAUGGGCGCCAGCCUGAUGCAGCCAUGCCGGUGGUAUGAAGAAGGGCUUCGGGUUGUAAAGUACUUUCAGCGGGGAGGCGUUACCCGCAGAAGAAGCACCGGCUAACUCCGUGCCAGCAGCCGCGGUAAUUC
rnacentral:rRNA from 1 species